rnacentral:tRNA from 1 species
GGCGAGGUAGCUCAGUCGGUUAGAGCGGUGGCUUCAUAAGCCAUAGGUCGCUGGUUCAAGUCCAGUCCUCGCUA